rnacentral:snRNA from 1 species
GUGCUUGCUUUGACAGCACAUAUGCUAAAAUUGGAACAACACAGAGAAGAUUAGCAUGGCCGCUGCGCAAGGAUGACAGAAUUGUGAUAUAUAAAACAGACAUUA